rnacentral:lncRNA from 1 species
UCUAGAGUAAGAGAAAGAAAGAGAUCUUUCCAACAAAGAUCCAGUAAUCACAAGAUAUUUGCAAAUGUCUCUACUAUUUUUACUUCGUCCAAUAAAACCCAUCACACACCUUCUGAUGCCCUUUUCAUUUGUAACUCACGAGAUGACCGACUCUUGUUUGAACUUGCAACUGAUAAAAGCACUCGAUGACGGUAUAAAGGGGAAAGUAAAACAGAGUCUACUUAUCUCAGAUUCGACACAAGGUAGCAUCUAAGUUCGAGAGAAAAAAAAAGAAGAGAAAAAGAACAAGUUACAAGAUUCGACCAAUUUUGUUCUUUUGUUUUCAGGAGGACAAACCAGAAUAAGUAAAGAGAGAGACUGCUUCUUAGCUGUUUUCAGGGCUGCGAUGGCAUCGGAGA